rnacentral:rRNA from 1 species
UACGUAGGGUGCGAGCGUUGUCCGGAAUGAUUGGGCGUAAAGCGUCUGCAGGUGGCAGUUCAAGUCUGCUGUCAAAGACCGGGGCUUAACUUCGGAAAGGCAGUGGAAACUGAACAGCUAGAGUAUGGUAGGGGCAGAGGGAAUUCCUGGUGUAGCGGUGAAAUGCGUAGAGAUCAGGAAGAACAUCGGUGGCGAAGGCGCUCUGCUGGACCAUAACUGACACUCAGGGACGAAAGCUAGGGGAGCGAAUGGG